CCUACGGGUGGCAGCAGUGAGGAAUAUUGGUCAAUGGACGAGAGUCUGAACCAGCCAAGUAGCGUGAAGGAUGACUGCCCUAUGGGUUGUAAACUUCUUUUAUAUGGGAAUAAAAUGUUCCACGUGUGGGAUUUUGUAUGUACCAUAUGAAUAAGGAUCGGCUAACUCCGUGCCAGCAGCCGCGGUAAUACGGAGGAUCCGAGCGUUAUCCGGGUUUAUUGGGUUUAAAGGGAGCGUAGGUGGAUUGUUAAGUCAGUUGUGAAAGUUUGCGGCUCAACCGUAAAAUUGCAGUUGAAACUGGCAGUCUUGAGUACAGUAGAGGUGAGCGGAAUUCGUGGUGUAGCGGUGAAAUGCUUAGAUAUCACGAAGAACUCCGAUUGCGAAGGCAGUUCACUGGACUGCAACUGACACUGAGGCUCGAAAGUGUGGGUAUCAAACAGGAUUAGAUACCCGAGUAGUC
rnacentral:rRNA from 1 species